rnacentral:misc_RNA from 1 species
GGUCAGGGGUUCGAUUCCCCUUAGCUCCACC